AGGAUGGGAAGGUGUGUGCUCCUCCCUACCUUACUCCCUUAAUUCAUGGUGCUUUGCUUCCUUUUACCCAUUCUCCCUAUAAAUCACUUAAACCUUGCAGGGUUCCUCCUGUUCGGCAGAUGGCAGGGUCUUCUUCAACCUCUAUCCUAACAGAGAAGAGCAAAGAGGAAGCCAGGGUGCACUGAGAAACAUCAUCAGAGGGAUUCCUCUCUAGAGAGAGAGUUCAAACUCUUAGAUCAAAUCUCUCUUCUGAUGUCAACCUGAACUUCCCCAUGUCAUCACCUGAGUCAUUCAGAAAGAAUGUGAAACCAUUUUCUCUCUCCAGAGAGGUGUGCUUCAUAAAAGAAUACUCACGCCUGUGUCACUGUGUUGAGAAGCGGUGAGAUCUCCCUUCUUAACACAUCUCUGGGGUGCAGCAAUUUACGGUGAGCGUCGAGCGCGGCGCUGUGCAGCGGGUCUCUACCACGCGCUCAUCUUGCAUCGCUGAGACUGUACUGACAGCAACGGGCGAGGUUUCCGUUUCCCAUCCUCAGACGCCAUCCCACCCUCUGCUUCUGACUCC
rnacentral:lncRNA from 1 species